CACGCCGUAAACGGGUGGGUGCUAGCUGUGGGCCACAUUCCACGUGGUCCGUGACGAAGUUAACACAUUAAGCACCCCGCCUGGGGAGUACGGCCGCAAGGCUAAAACUCAAAGGAAUUGACGGGGGCCCGCACAAGCGGCGGAGCAUGCGGAUUAAUUCGAUGCAACGCGAAGAACCUUACCAAGGCUUGACAUAUAGAGGAAAAGUGCAGAAAUGUACUCCCCGUAAGGUCUCUAUACAGGUGGUGCAUGGUUGUCGUCAGCUCGUGUCGUGAGAUGUUGGGUUAAGUCCCGCAACGAGCGCAACCCUCGUCCUAUGUUGCCAGCACGUUAUGGUGGGAACUCAUGGGAUACUGCCGGGGUCAACUCGGAGGAAGGUGGGGAUGACGUCAAAUCAUCAUGCCCCUUAUGUCUUGGGCUUCACGCAUGCUACAAUGGCCGGUACAGAGGGCUGCAAUACCGUAAGGUGGAGCGAAUCCCAAAAAGCCGGUCUCAGUUCGGAUUGAGGUCUGCAACUCGACCUCAUGAAGUCGGAGUCGCUAGUAAUCGUAGAUCAGCAACGCUACGGUGAAUACGUUCCCGGGCCUUGCACACACCGCCCGU
rnacentral:rRNA from 1 species